AUGAACGCUGGCGGCGUGCCUCAUACAUGCAAGUCGAGCGAACAGACGAGGAGCUUGCUCCUCUGACGUUAGCGGCGGACGGGUGAGUAACACGUGGAUAACCUACCUAUAAGACUGGGAUAACUUCGGGAAACCGGAGCUAAUACCGGAUAAUAUAUUGAACCGCAUGGUUCCAUAGUGAAAGACGGUUUUGCUGUCACUUAUAGAUGGAUCCGCGCCGCAUUAGCUAGUUGGUAAGGUAACGGCUUACCAAGGCAACGAUGCGUAGCCGACCUGAGAGGGUGAUCGGCCACACUGGAACUGAGACACGGUCCAGACUCCUACGGGAGGCAGCAGUAGGGAAUCUUCCGCAAUGGGCGAAAGCCUGACGGAGCAACGCCGCGUGAGUGAUGAAGGUCUUCGGAUCGUAAAACUCUGUUAUUAGGGAAGAACAAAUGUGUAAGUAACUAUGCACGUCUUGACGGUACCUAAUCAGAAAGCCACGGCUAACUACGUG
rnacentral:rRNA from 1 species